rnacentral:rRNA from 1 species
ACCUGCGGAGGAUCAUUAUUGAAAUAAACCUGAUGGGUUGUUGCUGGCUCUCCAGGGAGCAUGUGCACACCUUGUCAUCCUUUACAUUUCCACCUGUGCACCUUUUGUAGACCCUCCCAGGUCUAUGUUGCUUCAUUUACCCCUGAUGUAUGUCAAUAGAAUGUAGUGCUUAUGAAAUAUAUACAACUUUCAGCAACGGAUCUCUUGGCUCUCGCAUCGAUGAAGAACGCAGCGAAAUGCGAUAAGUAAUGUGAAUUGCAGAAUUCAGUGAAUCAUCGAAUCUUUGAACGCACCUUGCGCUCCUUGGUAUUCCGAGGAGCAUGCCUGUUUGAGUGUCAUUAAUAUAUAUAUCAACCCCCCUCUUGUUGAGCGGGUUUGGAUGUGGAGGUUUUUGCUGGCCGCUUAAAAAAGGGUUCAGCUCCUCUGAAAUACAUUAGCGGGACAAGCCUGUCCAUUCAUUGGUGUGAUAAAUAUCUACGCUGUUGAAUGUGAGGCAGUUCAGCUUUCCAACAGUCCUUUGGACAACCUAUCAUUUUAUG